rnacentral:misc_RNA from 1 species
GAUGAAGAACGUAGCGAAAUGCGAUAAGUAGUGUGAAUUGCAGAAUUCAGUGAAUCAUCGAAUCUUUGAACGCACAUUGCGCCCCUUGGUAUUCCAUGGGGCAUGCCUGUUCGAGCGUCAUUUGUACCUUCAAGCUUUGCUUGGUGUUGGGUGUUUGUCCUGAGGGACUCGCCUUAAAGUAAUUGGCAGCCAGUGUUUGGUUUUGAAGCGCAGCACAAGUCGCGAUUCAAAGCUAUACGCCCGCUUCCACAAGCCUUUUUCACUUUUGACCUCGGAUCAGGUAGGGAUACCCGCUGAACUUAAGCAUAUCAAAAGCGGAGGA